UACGGGGGGUGCGAGCGUUAAUCGGAAUAACUGGGCGUAAAGGGCACGCAGGCGGACUUUUAAGUGAGGUGUGAAAUCCCCGGGCUUAACCUGGGAAUUGCAUUUCAUACUGGGAGUCUAGAGUACUUUAGGGAGGGGUAGAAUUCCACGUGUAGCGGUGAAAUGUGUAGAGAUGUGUAGGAAUACCGAAGGCGAAGGCUGCCCCUUGGAAAUGUACUGACGCUCAUGUGCGAAAGCGUGGGGAGCAAACAGG
rnacentral:rRNA from 1 species